rnacentral:lncRNA from 1 species
UCAGUCCGUCCGUCAGUCAGUCCGUCCCAUGAAACUUUCGUCACAUUUUUCUCAGGAACUACACAUCCACCCUUUCUGUAAUUUGAUAUCAACAUUUAUAUAUGUCAGCCAUACCAUGUGAUGCGUUUUCAGAUUCAUCACUUGACAACUUCCUGUUUACCGAACACUUGUCUGAUUUUACACAUGAUAGCCAAGUUGAAAAUUUUCGUCACAUUUUUCUCAAGAACUACAAUACAAGGAUUUCUGAAAUUUGGUUUCAGGAUUUAUAUAAGUCAGCUAUACCGUGUGAUGCGUUUUCAGAUUCAUCACUCGACAACUUCCUGUUUACCGAACACUUGUAUGAUUUUACACAUGAUAACCAAGUUGAAAAUUUUCGUCACAUUUUUCUCAGGAACUACAAUACAAGGAUUUCUGAAUUUUGGUUUCAGGAUUUAUAUAAGUCAGCUAUACCGUGUGAUGCGUUUUCAGAUUCAUCACUCGACAACUUCUUGUUUACCGAACAGUUGUAUGAUUUUACACAUGAUAACCAAGUUAAAAAUUUUCGUCACAUUUUUCUCAGGAACUACAAUACAAGGAUUUCUGAAAUUUGGUUUCAGGAUUUUUAUAAGUCAGCUAUUCCGUGUGAUGCGUUUUCAGAUUCAUCACUCAACAACUUCCUGUUUACCGAACACUUGCAUAUUUUUACACUAUUAAUAUUAUCCACUUGCGGCGGGGGUAUCAUCAGUGAGCAGUAGCUCGCAGUUUCACUUGUUUUACUU